rnacentral:rRNA from 1 species
UACGGAGGAUGCGAGCGUUAUCCGGAUUUAUUGGGUUUGAAGGGUGCGUAGGCGGACGCUUAAGUCAGCGGUAAAAUUGCGGGGCUCAACCUCGUCGAGCCGUUGAAACUGGGUGCCUUGAGUGGGCGAGAAGUACGCGGAAUGCGUGGUGUAGCGGUGAAAUGCAUAGAUAUCACGCAGAACUCCGAUUGCGAAGGCAGCGUACCGGCGCCCAACUGACGCUGAAGCACGAAGGCGUGGGUAUCGAACAGG